rnacentral:rRNA from 1 species
UGGGGAAUAUUGCACAAUGGGCGCAAGCCUGAUGCAGCCAUGCCGCGUGUGUGAAGAAGGCCUUCGGGUUGUAAAGCACUUUCAGCGGGGAGGAAGGCGAUAAGGUUAAUAACCUUGUCGAUUGACGUUACCCGCAGAAGAAGCACCGGCUAACUCCGUGCCAGCAGCCGCGGUAAUACGGAGGGUGCAAGCGUUAAUCGGAAUUACUGGGCGUAAAGCGCACGCAGGCGGUUGAUUGAGUCAGAUGUGAAAUCCCCGGGCUUAACCCGGGAAUUGCAUCUGAUACUGGUUAGCUAGAGUCUUGUAGAGGAGGGUAGAAUUCCAUGUGUAGUGGUGAAAUGCGUAGAGAUGUGGAGGAAUACCGGUGGCGAAGGCGGCCCCCUGGACAAAGACUGACGCUCAGGUGCGAAAGCGUGGGGAGCAAACAGG